rnacentral:lncRNA from 1 species
CUAAAUUGAGAAAAAAAUAAUAAAUAAUUGCCUCCUAUAUAAAUAGAAAUUAUUUAUCAAAUUAGAGAUAAUUUCACAUAUUAUAUCUAUUCUUUCUAAAAGAUAUAAGUUUAUGCUUUUUCUUGGCUGGUAUGAGAAAUCUAAGACUAAACCAUCUCUUUUGAGAUGACUGGUUAAUCAUUUGGAGAUAGCAAAUCACAAAGUUAUAUGCCUACUUUGCACCAACAUCAAAAUACACUGCAUGUAGAUCAACAAUGUGAAUGCUUGAAAAAUGAAAUCAUAAAAUUAUUGCAAGAAAACAUUUAUGAAUAUUUAUAAAAUCUUGAGAAGACUUUCAAAACACAUCGUCAAAAGUGGAAAGCAUAAGGCAAAGAUCGACAGACUAUAAUAGGUGAAAACAUAACAAUAAGCAUUAUAUUUAAAUGAUGUUUUAAUAUAUUCACAUGUAACAAGUCAAAUGGUGGAGCUGAGCUUAUGAGGAAAAGCAGUAAGAAGACAAUAAUCACCUUCAUGCAAAAUGGGCAAAGGAUGGGGAUAAAUAAAAAGAAUACAAUGGCCAUUUAAAACUGUUAAACUCUUUUACAAUCAAAGAAAUGUGAAUUAAAAUGAGAUGCCAUUUUUCCUUACUCAAUUAACACAAAAGAAUGUAAAUGCAACAAGGCAAUAUGUACAUAUAAAACUUUGUUCAAUUUCAAGACUGCAAUUUUUCUUUUCAGUAUUAUCUUGAAAAUUUCUGGAAUUAUCCAAAAUCAUAGAUAUACAGAAAGUUUUAGUUAUAAGGAUAUUCCUCACAGCUUUGUUUAUAAUAUCACAAAAUUGGAAAUAAUAGGGGUUGCUGAUUGAGUUAUGGCAUAUUUAACAUUGGAAUAUUAUAUAUCCAUUAAAACAACACUAGCACGUGGGAGCCUGGUGGGCUGCCGUCUAUGGGGUCACACAGGGUCGGACACGACUGAAGUGACUUAGCAGCAGCAGCAGCAGAAUAUUAAUAAUAUUUUAAAAUGCUUGUAAUACAUUGUAAAGUUAAAAAGCAGUUUACCAAUUACAAUACAUGCUAUUUUUUUCAAGAAAUUUACUUCCAUUUAACAUUUUCUAUAAUGACUUACAUUUCUUUUCUUGUAAGAAAUAGUCUAUAAAGGCCUCCAAGUUACUUAUCUAUCUCCUUCUGUUCUAAUACUCUAUUCCCAAAGUAAACUCCUCAUUACCAACCUCUUUUGCCCAGGUAUUUCCAUAACAGAAAAGGGUAUGGCCUGAACUGGAGAAGUGAAUGUUCUGUAUUUUGCUAAGUGCUACCUCCCACUGUAGAUUUCUGGUGACACCUAAGGCCUAGGAAGAAAACUAGAAGCCUUAGAGGAUGGAAACAAAGUGGGUGGAAGGGAAGAAAGAAUGCUAGGAAUAAAGUAUGAAAGUCAAGGACCUGUAAAAGAAGUCAAGAGACGGUCCAAUAUAUUUGCAAACCCUUUGUGAAAAUGUGAGUCUUGAAUGAUGAGAAGCAAUAAGAAGGUGAUAAUCACUGCAGGGAAAUAUGGGCAAAGGAUGUGGAUAAAAAUUUCUACAAAAAAUCAGACAUUAAAAAAAAGAAGUUUACAAAUCAUUGUGAAAGGAAUGAUACUCCAAUUAAAAAAUAAAUUUAAAAAAGUAGUUUGGCAUCUUUUCUAACCAAAAAAGUGUAAAUUAACUUGUUAAAAAAUAAAGCUUAUUUUGAAAUGCAAUAUCCCAGACUUUGUACAGCUUUAUAUUAUCUGAUUUAGUCCUCAAAGUCUAUUCUAUCCUGAAUUCUCUCUUGUAUUGGUCCAUCAUAGUGCCUUCUUUUGAGUUAAGACAGUUUGGGUAAGACCAGAUUUAAAUGUCCGUGUUACUAUCAUCUUAUGAAUAUACCCAUGAACACAGGUUAUUUUAAAUAGUUUCAGUGAACAAAAUCCUUAGUUAACAUCUUCAGUAUAUUAGGUCCAUUUUGAUUGGGGGAAGAAAUGUUUAAAAGGGUCAAGUCCUGAGGAUAUACUCUGGACAACCAGAGCUAGCUCAAAGGCACUGGAAAAAAUGGCAAAUCAAAAGGAGGCAAGAUCUAAUGCCAGUGUGGACUGAGAUAUGAGGGCAAAUUUAUGUAAUACUUCUGCAUUCUGAAAGUAGUUUACGUACAUAGCACUAACUUGAGCAUGUUAGGCACCAUAUGCAGAACUUUAUGUAAACUGUUUUAUUUAACAUCUUAUAAAGAAAAUACUAUUACAUUUAUUUUAAAGACAGUUCAUUUUAUACAGAAAAAUAAACCUGGAUUUCCUACCUCAAACCAUAUAUUCUAGAAAUUAAAGAUCACAUUGUGAAAGUACAACUCUAAAGCACAGAAAAGAAAGUAUAGGAUAUUGCUAUGACUUUGGGACAGGACAGAACUUUCUAAGUAAGACUCACAAAAUACAAACAAUGAAUCAAGAAAUUAAUAGACUUGACAUCAAACUAAAAAUCCUUGUUCAACAAACGAUCUCAUAAAUAAAAAUUUACAGAUGGGUGAUAGACUAGGAAAAAUUAUUUGCAACAUCUGAAAUGGACAAGAGUUGAUAUCUAGAACAUGGGUUAUUCUGUAAAUAGAAAAUAUUUUAGGUUUUAUGGGCCAUAUGGUCUCUAUUGCACCUGUUCAACUCUGUUGUUAUAGCAUGAAAGCAGCCAUAGACAAUACAAAACUGAAAGAAUAUGGUUGUGUUUCAAUAGAAACUUAUUUAUAAAAAUAGCUGGUGAGCAGGAUUUGGCUUUCAAGCUGUAGUCUGUUAGUCCCUAAUGUAGACUGUAGAAGAAAUUCCUAUAGAUCAGUAAGAAAAAUUUAGGAUGCUCGAUGGAAAACUGAAUGAAGGAUAACAAUAAGCAAUUAGCAGAAUGAAAAGUCCAAAUGGCUAAGCAAAUAUAGAUGUGCAACAUUAUUAAUAAUAUGAGAAAUGCAAAUUUAAAGGAAAUACCAUUUUGCAUCACAGGAUCUGACAGAACAUGGAAGUCAGAUAAUUCAGGAGGAGGUGAAGAUGUAGGUAAACAAGAAAGCCUCACACCUUGCCAAUGAAUGUGUGUCAGUUACAGAGAGCCAUUAAAUGCUAAGUGAAAUUAUUGUAUUUCCAUACCCCAAAUAAAGGAGAGCUCUUUGAUAAAGGGCAGCUGCUGCUGCUGCUGCUGCUGCUAUGUCACGUCAGUCGUGUCCGACUCUGUGCAAUC